rnacentral:lncRNA from 10 species
GUAUGAGUGGCUAUAUGGGUCCCAAAUUGUUGGGUGUUCCAAAGAUUGCAAACUCAGAUGCUUCAGGGUUGUGCAGGUAAAGUAAAUGAGGAAGUCGGGCUGCAUGUGGACAACAGGAAUAGUCAGAAAGCGAGCUGGGGAUGUUAUUUCAACAAAAUCAAAACCAAAUAACUCUCUGUGCCAGCCAAUUGGAUGCUUCACCCUGGGAAGAACUUGGCCUGCAGGCUCAGAUUUGUGACCAGUGAGGAUGCAGAGACUGUCACCUCCUCAGGGGCGAUCUGCUAAUUCUAGAAUGGCGCUGUCCCACGGAAAUAUAUCACAAGCCAAGAAUGCAAUUUAAAAUUUUCUAUUAGCCAUAUUAAAAACAGUAAAAAGAAACAGUUGAAAUUAAUUUUAAUAUGAUAUUUAACUCAAUAUAUCCAAAAGAUU